rnacentral:rRNA from 1 species
GACGAACCGUGCGAACGUUAUUCGGAAUCACUGGGCUUAAAGCGCGUGUAGGCGGGAGGGCACGUCCGUCGCUGAAAUCCCCCGGCUCAACCGGGGAACGGGCACGGGAUACGACCUUCCUGGAGGGGCGUAGGGGGACCUGGAACUUCCGGUGGAGCGGUGAAAUGCGUUGAGAUCGGAAGGAACGCCCGUGGCGAAAGCGAGGUCCUGGACGCCUACUGACGCUGAGACGCGAAAGCCAGGGGAGCGAACGGG